GCCACAUCCCCCGGGGGCCCCCGGGCGGCGCCGACCGGGUCUGCCGAGCCGAGCCGAGCGCUCCGGCGGGCGGCGAGCCCCGUGCGAGGCGGCGACGGAGGAGGAGGAGAAGGAGGAGGAGGGCGGGGAGAGCCCCUCCGGCGGUGCGCUCCCCGCGGAGGUCCGCGCUCGCAGUUUCCUCCCCUCCUGCAAACUUUUGGGGGAGCGGAGCGGGGUGUGGGUCCUCCUGCUACCGCCCCGGCCGCAUCCCCCACUCCGGGCGCUGCUGCGUGGCCGGUGUCUGCUGUUGUUGUUGCUUGUGGUUAAAAAAAUAAAAAUAAAAAAUUAAAAAUAGUAAUAAUAAAAAAAAAGAGUGAGGAGGACGAAGAAGAAACCACGGUCCGGGCUGCUUUAUUUACGUAUUUCUCUCUUUUUCGUUUGUUUUGGUUGUUUCCCCCUUCCUCGCCUGGCGGAACUCCGGGAAGUGCCGGCGGCGCCGCGCGGAGCGGAGCGGAGCGGAGGGGUCGUGCCCGGCCCGGCCCGGCCCAGCCCUGCCCGGCCCAGCCCGGCCGCCACCGCCGCUCCGCGCCGCUCCCCCAGCACGCUGUGGCGAGGUGACUCCUUUGACCAAAUUUAGCAGCGGCUCGUCAUUAACAUUCUGAUACAUAUUCACAGCGCACGGGAGGCCGCCGCGCGCGGGGCACCCUGGGAGAUGUAGUCCUGGCGGCGAGAGGCACGGCCGACCCGCGCAGGCAGCAGAGCGCGCGGGACUUUUUCUCCCGGCGGGCACCGCGGCGUCGCCGGCACCCCUCGCUCGCCCCCUCCUCCGCCCCGCCCACGAAGGGCGUCGCCGCCGACCAAUCAGCGCCGCCCGCGCAUUAAUCGCCGUUCUGUAUUAAUGCCCAUCAUUUCGCCGCUGACAAAUGGGCGUGCGGGACCGAGGAAGGAGGGUGGGGGGGCGGCCCCGCGCUCGGCCCCCACGUGGGGACGUGACGCCUCGAGGUCCCGCAGCCAAUCAGGCGGCCGCCCGGGCCUCUCCGCUGCUGUUUCCCCGCCGCCCGAGGCGGGGCUUUGAGAUCGCCGGCGUGCCAUAGCGCCGGCGUUGGAACAGGGGAAACAUUUGUUCACCUGUCAAUCAAAUGCUUAAGGGACGAAAUAUUUCCUCUCGGAAGCGGCGCCCGUGAGAGGAUGCUGUUCGCAGCUACUCGCAGGAGUAAGGCUGAAGGAUUUGACAUUUGAACCUUCUAUCCUAAAGAUACGCUGGCAUUCCGCAGGGCGUUUUCUGCCCCGUCAAAGGAGAGAAGGGCCGCUGGAUCCCAAGGGACGGGUGUUUUUGAAGGUGCGGUGAGCCCAUCUGGAAAUUAACUGUCAGCAGCAACAGAUAGCUAACAACGUGUAGGUCUCACAAGCAGUUUGGCUGCGGCUGCGGUGGCUUCCGUGGUCUGCAGGCAGGAGGGAACACAGCCGGGGAAGCGUGUCCCCAGGCUGGCCUGUCGCGUGCCUGCGUUGCCGCCUCUAGCAGCCCUAAUUUCUCAGAAAGCAACCCCGCACCGAUCGGUACUGUGUCCUAGAAAGACCCCAUGGCAACUUUCCUGCCAAGCCCCAUUGCAGGCAAUACCAUGCACCGGUGCACAUGCGAGCGAUAGGCUCAGGCUCCUUUUUUUGUCUGCGCCUGUCAGGCUUAGAUUUGCCUCCAAGCAGUUUGUACAACUGAUGAUCUGCCGUUUAAACCUGCAUGCAAAAUAGAUGUGGUUUAGUCACGUCAUUUUGGAUGCCUGUACUCAAAAUCCAUAGUCUCAAAACUUUCACUCGGCAAUUAGUGCCCUAAUAAUGGUAGCUAAAUUGCACAUAUUUGCAUUUUUAGUAGUAAAAUAUUUUUACCACCCCCUUCUCUCUGGCUAAGGCUUGUAGUUGCUGAGCGGCCUGAGGCCUUGAUGGGACAUCUCACCAAGGUUCUGCCUUCGUUGCCUGCCCUCCAAGGGCUGGUCCAGUGGUCAGGACCUCAGGAUGCUGGUGUUGGUGCUGAUGGCACCAUCUGUCCACCUGAAGAAGGUGGUGAUGGCAUCCAUCUUCCACUGCCGUCUAGAGUUUAGGAGGUGCAGGGCAGAAAUUCAUCAGCUUUCUGUUUUGAAGGGAAGUUUGUAACCAGAGUCUGCUUGCAAUCUGGCAUGUACUGUCACCUAGAGUGUUUUGUGGUUCUAAAUCCUUCUGAAGCCAUUUUUGCCUAAUCCAGGUCACUGGGAAAUUGACCAAAAUGUGUCCUUCUCACCUUUUGUUUUUCUAUGACCAAAAAUGCCUUCAGGGUUGGCUUCAUUAGUCGUUGUAGUACCCAGGCUUUGUCAUGCUUGCAGAUUUCGUUUCUGCUGGUAUUUUCACAUUUACAGGGUUCAUAAUCAGUGCUCCAGUGGAGUUUAGGCCUCUAAAUACCGUUCAAAGAUAUGGAGACAAAGCACCUGACUAAUUAUGAAAAGACCACUUUGCUUGUGUCUGAACCUUCCAGCACCAAAAAUGCUUUUAAAGGAUUGGUCACGAGUAUCCUGCAUGAAGCAGUGGAGCACUUUCAGCUCCUCUGAAAUGGAGGAUGUUCACCACAUGCCAGGAUCACGUCUCAACAUUCAGAGGUAUGGCUGCAAAGCCUGCAAAUGCCUUAGUGUAGUGCCUGUCACCCAGGUGCUUGAAAGCUGUGUGAGAACAGAACAGUUACAGGACUCUGCGGAGUUGUGAGCGUUUCUGGAAAUAUGAUGGGCGGGUUCAGACCAUAAUUUUAGGAUCCUCAGUGCAGAGAAGAAUUAAUCCAGUUAUAAAAUAAACACUCUGUCUGAAGAUACUGAAUUCUGAGAUAACAGGAGGAUUUUGUGUUCUCUGUAGCCCUGCCUUCGUGAGGUACAGAGUUCCAGAGGGAAAGGUCUUCAGCUCACUAGCAGACCAACGUACAGAGCUCUGCCAUCAAAGCCGUCCCUCUUCUUUUGGAGAGCACUUUGGCAGUGACGUUAUCUACGCCUCAGCACUGUUCAUUCUCUCUUGUCUUCAGUGAAUUUAUGCAGCUAGGGGAAGGACAGAGCUAGAUUUGCUGAGCUUUACCAAAAUGACUGUGUGUACGUGCUUAACUCUUUAACAAAUGAAUCAAUGUGCACUUUUGCCCAGUUUUGCAACAUUCUUGCAAGAUCCAUGAAACUCAGAAGUUUAAGAGAAAGUGCACUGUAACUUGCCACUUUUAAAUGAUGUGAAUUAAGAUCAGGAUGUCGAUGUCAUUCUAUUUUCCCGUCUUUUGUCACUUCUGACACAGCCUUGAUGGAUCUUUAAAUAUAGGUUGUUUUGUAUUUAAAGUUCCUUGUUUUUUCCUUCUUUUAUGAAAAAUCUUUUAUGGUAGGUUAUAUAACCUGUACUAUUAUUUCGCAAGGAGAGAAGGUAGCUUUUAAAUGUUUUACACAUCUUGCUAAAGAUUUCUUAUAACUGAAUCAACUGCAAGAAAUAUUUAGGCAGUUUUACAGGCACAGUAAGUGUGUUGAGUUUGGGUUGGUGUAAAAAAAAAAAAAAGCCUUGUGAAAUAUCGCAGAGAGGCUAAGGGCUGCAAAGUGUCUCAUCCAUUCUUUUUCUUCUAUGAAGUGGUUAUUUCGGUCCUAUUGAUUCAGAGCUAGUCUGCUUUUACUUACAUUUAAAAUCUUAGGUCUAAAAUGAACAGAACAAUGUGUGCCUAUAUAUGUAUAUUUGAGGAUAGGUUAAAAAAAAAACAAAAAUUUAAUUUCCAGUUAAGAUUGUCUAACCCACUCGCAGACUCUGGUGAUCAUUUUAUAGCUGAGCCAUAACCUUAAUACAGAGACCUAUCAGUGCCAGAGGACCUUUAAUAACAGGUCCUAUCCUGAGGCCAUUUGGUAUGUAACCCCACGGAUUUCCUGUCUGGAAUGACUGUAGCUGAAGAGCAACAGGGCUGUGCCUAUUGCUGCAACUUAUUACACUUUAAUUUGAGACCAAGCUACCAGGUCACCAUACUUGGUCAGCUGUGUACUCACAAACACACAUGUGCGCGCACACAUGUUCACAGAAAUAAAGGUGUGAAGC